UAGCUCAGUUGGUAAAGAAUCUGCCUGCAGUGCAGGAGAUCCAGGUUCAAUCCCUGG
rfam:Ovis aries breed Texel Tnplaced_Contig43_fixed, whole genome shotgun sequence.